rnacentral:rRNA from 1 species
AUUGAACGCUGGCGGCAGGCCUAACACAUGCAAGUCGAGCGGAUGAAGGGAGCUUGCUCCUGGAUUCAGCGGCGGACGGGUGAGUAAUGCCUAGGAAUCUGCCUGGUAGUGGGGGAUAACGUCCGGAAACGGGCGCUAAUACCGCAUACGUCCUGAGGGAGAAAGUGGGGGAUCUUCGGACCUCACGCUAUCAGAUGAGCCUAGGUCGGAUUAGCUAGUUGGUGGGGUAAAGGCCUACCAAGGCGACGAUCCGUAACUGGUCUGAGAGGAUGAUCAGUCACACUGGAACUGAGACACGGUCCAGACUCCUACGGGAGGCAGCAGUGGGGAAUAUUGGACAAUGGGCGAAAGCCUGAUCCAGCCAUGCCGCGUGUGUGAAGAAGGUCUUCGGAUUGUAAAGCACUUUAAGUUGGGAGGAAGGGCAGUAAGUUAAUACCUUGCUGUUUUGACGUUACCAACAAAAUAAGCACCGGCUAACUUCGUG